GACAGAGGUCCCGAGCGUUAGGCGGAAUCACUGGGCUUAAAGCGUGUGUAGGCGGAUCGUUAAGUGCCUUGUGAAAUCCCAUGGCUUAACCAUGGAACUGCUUGGCAUACUGGCGAUCUUGAGCCACUUAGGGGCAACCGGAACAAAUGGUGGAGCGGUGAAAUGCGUAGAUAUCGGGAGGAACACCUGUGGCGAAAGCGGCGCACUGGACCACAACUGACGCUGAGGCGCGAAAGCUGGGGGAGCAAACAGG
rnacentral:rRNA from 1 species